rnacentral:rRNA from 1 species
UACGUAGGUGGCAAGCGUUGUCCGGAUUUAUUGGGUUUAAAGGGUGCGUAGGCGGCCUUAUAAGUCAGUGCUGAAAUAUCCCGGCUUAACCGGGAGGGUGGCAUUGAUACUGUAGGGCUUGAGUAGAGUUGAGGUUGGCGGAAUUGACGGUGUAGCGGUGAAAUGCUUAGAUAUCGUCAAGAACACCGAUAGUGAAGACAGCUAACUAAGCUCUAACUGACGCUGAGGCACGAAAGUGUGGGGAUCAAACAGG